UAAGACGAACCGUGCGAACGUUGUUCGGAAUCACUGGGCUUAAAGGGCGCGUAGGCGGGCGGCCAAGUCAGGGGUGAAAUCUUUCGGCUCAACCGGAAAACAGCUUCUGAUACUGGUCGUCUUGAGCGAGGUAGGGGCAUGUGGAACUUCCGGUGGAGCGGUGAAAUGCGUAGAUAUCGGAAGGAACGCCGGUGGCGAAAGCGGCGUGCUGGACCUCUUCUGACGCUGAGGCGCGAAAGCUAGGGGAGCAAACGGGAUUAGAUACCCCGGUAGUCCUAGCCCUAAACGUUGGGUACUAGAUUGUGGACUAAUCAUGGGUUCACAGUCGAAGCAAAAGUGUUAAGUACCCCGCCUGGGGAGUAUGGUCGCAAGGCUG
rnacentral:rRNA from 1 species